GGAGUCGUAUCAAAGUGGUCGUAAUGAGGCGCACUCGAAAUGCGUUUGUCCUUUUUGGGCACGAGGGUUCGAAUCCCUCCGACUCCGCUA
rnacentral:tRNA from 1 species